rnacentral:rRNA from 1 species
UACCAGCUCUCCGAGUGGUAGGGACGAUUAUUGGGCUUAAAGCGUCCGUAGCUGGCUUAGCAAGUCCCCUGUUAAAUUCAGCGACCUAAUCGUUGAGCCGCGGGAGAUACUACUAGGCUAGGAGGCGGGAGAGGUCGACGGUACUUUCGGGGUAGGGGUGAAAUCCUAUAAUCCCGGGAGGACCACCAGUGGCGAAGGCUGUUGACUAGAACGCGCUCGACGGUGAGGGACGAAAGCUGGGGUAGCGAACCGGAUUAGAUACCCGGGUAGUCCCAGCUGUAAACUAUGCGGGCUAGGUGUUGGGGUGGCUACGGGCCACUUCAGUGCCGCAGGAAAGCCAUUAAGCCCGCCGCCUGGGGAGUACGGCCGCAAGGCUGAAACUUGAAGGAAUUGGCGGGGAGCACCACAAGGCGUGAAGCUUGCGGUUC